rnacentral:ncRNA from 1 species
UUUAAAUUGUAUUAAAAAUUUUAAUAAAAAUUAAUAAAUUUAAUUAUAGUUUUAAAGUUAAUUUUUAAAUUUUUUAUAUAUAUAAAUAUUAGAUAUUUAAUAUUAAAGUAAGUAGUAUAUAAAUUUAAUAAAGUUAAAAAUAUUUAAAUUUAGGAAUUUUUAUAAUUUGGAUAAAUAAUUGUGCCAGCAAUCGUGGUUAAACAAUUUAAAUAAAUUAAUUUAAUUAAAUUAAAAUUAAAUGAAUAUUUAUAAUAAAAAUUUAAAUUGUUAGGUGAAAUUAAUUAAUUUAUAAUUAUUAUAUAUUAGUAUAAGUUGAAUUUUUAAAAGAUUUUUGAAAAACUAGGAUUAGAUACCCUAUUAUAAAAUUUAAAGAAUAUAAUUUAAAUAUUAAAUGAUUAAUCAUUAAAUUUAAAUAAUUUGGCGGUAUUUUAAUUUUAUUAGAGGAAUUUGUUAAUUAAUUGAUAUUACCCGAUAAGAUAAACUUUAAUUAAAUUUUUAUAUUGUUGUUUAAAGAGUAUUUUUAUAAAAAUUAUUUAAAAUUUUUUUUUAGAAAAAAAUUCAGAUCAAAAUGAAGUAAAUGUUAAAGAGUUAAUGAGUUACAAUAAAUUUAAUUUAAAUGAAUUUAUAAUUUAAAUAUUAUAAUGAAGGUGGAUUUAAAAGUAAAAUAAAAUAAUUAUUUUAUUUGAUUUAAAUUUUAAAAUAUGUACAAAUUGCCCGUCGUUCUCUUUGAAAAAGGAGGUAAGUCGUAACAAAGUAAAAGUACUGGAAAGUGUUUUUAGAU